CACGUAGGGUGCGAGCGUUGUCCGGAAUUAUUGGGCGUAAAGAGCUCGUAGGCGGUGUGUCGCGUCGGCCGUGAAAACCUGCAGCUUAACUGUGGGCUUGCGGUCGAUACGGGCAUCACUGGAGUUCGGCAGGGGAGACUGGAAUUCCUGGUGUAGCGGUGAAAUGCGCAGAUAUCAGGAGGAACACCGGUGGCGAAGGCGGGUCUCUGGGCCGAUGACUGACGCUGAGGAGCGAAAGCGUGGGUAGCAAACAGG
rnacentral:rRNA from 1 species